rfam:Triticum aestivum genome assembly, contig: Triticum_aestivum_CS42_TGACv1_scaffold_407406_5BL
GCUCAGUUGGUAGAGCACAAGGCUCUUAACCUUGUGGUCGUGGGUUCAAGCCCUAC